GCAUUUCAGUCAAGUCUGACCUAAACUGAUGGGAAAAGAAAUUGCAGGUCCUGAUAAUGAAGAUAUGAGGUGAUGAAAACUGGAUGAAAAUUUUAGUAGACUGCACGGGAAGUCUGAAUGAUUUAAAAAUUGUAGAGGAAAGUACAUCACAACUUAGGUAAUAUUCUUGUAUUCUAGCCAAGAGAAAAAAGGGAAAUGGCCAAAAAGUCUCACCACUCUUGAAAUUACAUAGCAAAAUCAUGUCAAAAACACUGGAGAUUGAGAGCUGUCCUGGAGAAAAACCGAUGCAUGUUUUGUUCAGGCUGAUACUGGAAUCUGUAGGAGGCUCAGAGCAGGAGGCUGAGAUGUGUGGUGGUGUGAAGGGAAGCUGGACUGAAAAAGGCAUCUGAAGAAAUCAGAUCUGAAGUCAUGGGAGCAGGAUGAAUGCCCCAGAGAGGUGGGAAAAAAAAGGAGAAAUCUGACACUGUGACCCUUUCCUCCUUUCCCAUAGAUCCUUCUUUAAUACAGAUGGGCCUGACUUUCCUCCUGGGAUUUCAGUAGAGCACAGAGCAGUGUGGCAUGUAGGUCCUGUGGCACUUCAGAGAGAUUUGCACCUCUUACUGCUGUAAAUACCCCCAAAUAUCUCAAAUUCAGUUCCAGGAUUUCUGCUGAAGGCAGCUGACCAUGUAGCCCAAUUUGAUUGUACUUCACAGAUUUACUGGUCUCAAUGGAAACCACAAACAGCUGAUCCUGGACUUAAUGCAUGGAUAGAGCAGCCUGGGGGUGCACAACGGCAUUGCUGGAGUGGGAUCUCUUUCCCUGGGCUUUCUCAUUCCUUCUCUCAUAUGUCCUGGGAAUGCUCUGCUCCUCCCAGACCCCAGGAUGACCGAAAUGCCACAAGACAAGAAAGGAUAUUUGCACUCGCCUGUGCACUGUUGCCCUCUGCUUCUCCAAACUGCAGAGGCCACCUUAGAAUAAUACUUAUAUAGGGCUAUAUAUUUUCUUAGCAUUGUACAAAUAUUAACUAAUUAAUACCCAGGACUUCUGUCGCCCAUUCUGCUAGACUCUACCAGCCUCAGGCAAGUCAUUUAACCUCUGUUUGUCUUACCUCUCCCAUCUGCUAUGUACUGUUUUUAAUUGUCCUCUGAGAAGCCAAGCAAGUUGAAUGAGAUCUCAGACAUGUAAAAAUAACUUGCAAAGGAUGAUGUGGAGUGGCCUGGAUAAACUCCUUUUGUAUCCUUUGAAAAUCCAGGCUGUAUUUUAGCAUCACCACUAUGGCUAGACUAGGCACUUGGCAGAUCUCAUUCCUAUGUGACUUCACAGGGGAAAAAAAUGAAGUUUUGGACAAGUGUACUUCAAAUCAUUGAAGGGGAGAGGGUAGAAGAGACAGUAUUUAGCAUAAGACCUAAAUACUGCAGGAGGAGGUUGCUUAACCUAUGCUAGUCUAUAAAGGAGUGGAUCCAGAGUUCUCCAUGAGAUGUUCUGGAGUUCUAUAUGAGUCAUACUGUGUGCUUCUCCAGCAGCCCUCGCUCCCUGGAACAGACAAUGAGAAAUGCAGUAAGACUCUGGGGAGCAUCCUGACAGAACCAGCCUCAGAGCAGACCAAAGUGCUUGGAUUCUAAGUUGUGCACUUAUCUUUGGCCCUAACCUAGCUCCAUCUUGGACCCCUGAGCCUGCCCUUCAUGCUUAGGAGGAGCAAAGCUGGUGGAAUGUGGGUGGUCAGUGUUGUGCUCACCUCUGUGUGAGUACAGGAUCUGAAUGGGAGUCUGAGGCUUCGCCACUGGUCAUAGAUGAGUGCGAUCAUGAGAUCAGUCUUGCACUUUGGCCCUCCUGUUCCAGAGAUGUAUUUCCCUGGACCAUAUGCACCGUGACAAAAUUGCACAUGGUCUGUGAUAGUCUAAAUCAGGUUCUCCAGGCAUAGAUUGCUGGGAGGAGAGGUGUAAUCGUGAAAUUUGGUCAACAGUGGUGAAGCUACUGGUGGAGACAUGGCAUUGACUUUGACAGGAACAUCCCUAGCUCGUGGCAGAGCAAUGUGAUUCCAAAAGCUCUUCUGAUAGGGCUGAUGGACUCUGCAAUAUCAGACAUAAGCCGCUCUUUCUCCCUUACCUUCUCUCUCCAUGGAAGACACAGCGGAUGGAAGCCCUUGUGAUGGUAAAUUGCUGUAGUAGCUCUGUGUGACUGGGGAGUUUUCCUCCAGUAAGGAUGGAUUCCCACCUGCCUGGCCCUCAAGAUUGCUUUGCACUGCUGGUCAGCAUUCACAGACUGGGAGAUCUAAUCUGUGUCAGAGGAACCCAUUAGAACGAAAUGCUCCUGCCCUUCUCAAGGCAGAAAUAUUACAAAAUGUUCCUAGCAAGUUUCGUUUGCUUCACCUGACUUUCCACUUAAAUGGAGCUUGCUUAUCACCACACUCUUAAAGAAGAGAGCUCAGGAGUCCUUUGUGCAGGCAGUGUCGCUUUCCAAAAGCUCAGCUUUUCCAAUGCUGUUAGUAAAAGGUAGGAAUAUAAAACUUUGCAGUAAAAUCCAUUUCUGACUGAAUAAAAUAUUUUUCACUGAUUUAAAUGGCCUUAGGAGGUUUUACAAGUCGUGUUUUUGAACGGAGGGAUGAACAUGUAGAACCUUGACCCAGUAAAAUGAAAGUACCUUGUGUAGAAGGUUGCAGGCUGUAUUUAGGACAUUCAGGGGCAAGCUUAUACACAAACAUUCACAAAGAUGGUUUUACUUUUCAAUGAAGAUGAAAAACUGGCCCUUUUAAUGUAGAGUCUCUAAAAUGGGUCACUGCAAGUGCAUGUGUAGCAUUGCAGGCUGUUCCUGGGCAUAAUCAAUAUGCAUGUGAGAAAAGUUCUGAAAUUGUAGCUUUCACAAUGUGGUGAAUUCUUGAAAGUAUGGGAAAUCUGUGUUUAAAUCAAGGCUGAGUUAGACUGUGUUUACAGCUGUUAAUAUAAACAAGGAAACCUAGCUACAGAGCUCACAGCAUGACUGCAACAUCAUGUUUUUGUUACACUGACUGAAAACUAUGCAUAAUAAUCAGCAGAUUAUUUGGUAUUUAAAUUCAAGUAUGGAUUCAGUUCUAAACCUCUGAAGAUGGAUAUUGAAUUAAGGCUCCUUAACUCUGUCAUCUUUUUGCAAAUACCUUAUAGAUAAUUGUUGCUUAUUUUUGCUUACAGCAAAUCUGACGUUAAAGUGGAUACAAUUAAGCAGUAAAACACUGUAAUCAAGAAUCAAACCAAAAGUUAGCUCAGCUCUGUGAAUGUGCUAAGCAGGGAAAGAGGAGGCUGACUAGGGAGGCGUGCAUUAGACACACACAUCACUAAAACAGCUUUUCUUGAAGUAUGUAACUUUCAGGGUGCCUACUGCUUUGUGCUGGGCGAAAUAAAAAAUUCAGCCAUGGAAUCUCUAUUGGGCUGAGAGGGAUUUGUUUGAAAGAUUUAUAUUCUUUUUAGACAGUGAAAUAGGCUUUAGGCUUUCAAACUGCAUGACUUCUCUAACGCUUCUAUGCAAACAUUGUUGUGGAAAAAAAUAGCUAGUGCAGCUCCAUUCCCUCUCUCCCAAACAAA